UACGGAGGAUGCGAGCGUUAUCCGGAUUUAUUGGGUUUAAAGGGUGCGCAGGCGGCACGGCAAGCCGGCGGUCAAAUCGCGGGGCUCAACCCCGCCCAGCCGUCGGAACUGCCGGGCUAGAGUGGGCGAGAAGUGCGCGGAAUGCGUAGUGUAGCGGUGAAAUGCAUAGAUAUCACGCAGAACUCCGAUUGCGAAGGCAGCGCACCGGCGCCCUACUGACGCUCAGGCACGAAAGCGUGGGUAUCGAACAGG
rnacentral:rRNA from 1 species